rnacentral:sRNA from 1 species
UAAUUAAAUAUUUUUAAUCUUAUAUAUGGCCAAAAUAAGAUGUUAUAUUACAUUCUUAGCAUACCAUUAUAAUUACAACGUUUGUUUUAUUAAUUUAUUGUGCUAUUUGGCAUAUUCCCAAGGCAGCAGGCCUUGGGCUAACAUCAGACGAAAUGACAGAUGUGUAGCCCAAAAAACGCCCUUGGCAGUUCCAAUAAAUGGCCAAAAAGUUCGGAUAUUUUAUUUGUAACUUAUUUCGGUAAUACCCGAAAGUUUAAAAAAGGCGCAAUUGUACCGCCUUACCGCGAUAACGGUAUCGAACCGUAUGGUCAAAAUAACAUUCCAAUAACCAAAAAUAACCAUACCAUUUGGCAAAAUUUUUUUGUAACCGCAAUUGCAUUGGGAGGUUUUUGUGAAAAAUUAUGCCUGUUUCGGGGAUAUCGACCAGGGAAAUACCAAUAAUAAAAGACGUUAUAAUACCUGAACACCUUUUAUAAACUACAAGGGUAUUUGGAAAUACGGGCUUGUUCCCGGACCUAUUAUCGAAUUUGUCAGGGUUCGGAUAUAUCGUCUGGUUAUAUAAAAUAAAUUUGGACGAUAAAUAGGGAGUUUUUCCCGUAAAUGGUCCAUAUUCGGCUAAAUUAAAAAUGUUGGAUACAAUUCCCUAACGAAUUGUUAAUAUAUUAUUGUUUAACUGCGAUUGGGAAAAAUUUAUUUCAAAUAAUUUAUUUGGCUUAAAAAAGUCUGUUCGCAAAAUAUAUAAAAUCUAAUUUAAAUUUAUUAUAUUACCAUCGACGUAAUAAAUAACCGGAAUUCGCGCCGAAAUUGCAUAAUUCGGUACGCCAUUAUAAUUGUCGCUUUUCUCGAUAAUAUAUUAUUUCCGUAAAACUAUAAUUUUAUUUAAAAAUUUAACCGAAAUUUUAAAUAAUAUUAUAUCGGCCGUUUUAUUAAAAUUAUUUGGGUUAAAUUAAUUAAAUAGUAUGGUUGGGACGAUUUAAAUGGUUAUUUGCACGGAAAAUCCUUAUAAUCCUAACCCUAAAACUCCGGUUGCGGAUUUUUUUCCAUCGCGGCUUUUAAAAAUUGCAGGUUCUGGCAGCUGAAAAAGUAAUUUCGCAGGGUUCAAAACAGGCCCGAAAUACCGUAAACCAAUUUCGGUAGGCGUGGGAAAUGCUGCAACUGGUUUUUUUAACAAUCGUGCAAAUUUUGAAACAGAUUUUAUAAUGUUAUUGUGAGCUUAUAAUGCAAUUAAGAAAUUUAAAAGUUAAAACGAAAUAGAAGCCUCAAAAUUUAAAAUGCCCGGCUGUGUUAAUAGCGGGGAAAAGGGUGCAAGGGUUAGAUUCCAUUUGUGCAUCUUUUAUAAAACUGUCCAGUGGUGAGCUUCUGAACGUUUUUCCGUCUUAUAUACGCAAUUGGGCGGGUGAGUUACGUACAAUUGGCCUGUGCGGCAUUGCACGUGGGUUAUCGCUCUAUUGUUCAAUUGAACGCGUUGCCUUUAUUCCAACAGUUACAUUUUUCCAUUUAAUGUGGGAGACGAAUACCGGGUUUAUAAGGUAAUAAGAUAAUUUACCCGCAUAAAGGUUAUUUCCAUUUUAAAAGUGGAAAUGCAUUAAUAUAUUAAUUAACGAGUUUAUAGCAGGUCGUGCAAUCGAGCAGGCCACCCUUAAGCAAUUAUGCGCACAUUCCGCGUUGGCGGGCGUCGUAAUUUAUGCAUUUGCACAUUAAUAUAUAGUAUAAGGAUCAGGCUCCUAGACCUACCUUCAGAAUUA